UUGCUUGCUUUGGCAGCACGUAUACUAAAAUUGGAACAAUAUAGAGGAGAUUAGCAUGGCGCCUUUACCAGGAUGGCAUGCAAAUUAGUGAAGCGCUCCAUAAAAAU
ensembl:snRNA U6 U6 spliceosomal RNA